GUCACGUAUGAGUCACUUCCGGUUUUACGGAGACGCCCGAGAUUGGUUCUACUAGCAGCGUUUUUCACUUCUAAAGCCUAGACUUCUUCCAGCCGGCACUGUCACGUGACUCUGUUCGACCAAUCAGAGAAUGCAGUUUUGGAGGUGAGACAGAAAGUGUGUGCAGGCACCUUUGUAGCAGAGAUUGUCUCUGCAGCCUCCAGCGUAACUGGCUGGACAUGCGGAACAAGGAGCGCCAUAUUUGUAGGGCGCAUGACCCCACCAGUUUCCACUGAAAGGAAAAAAAGGGAAAAGCAAGAAGGCCCACUGGUUGAGAGGAGGCUCUGGAAAUUAGAGAGCACAGGGAAACACAGAAGACCUCCCACAAACACGCUCCACGAUUGGAUGACGUGCAGCACAAGCCGCAGCCACUUUUGCAUCCAUAAUCCUGCACGGCCCAAGGAUCACGUGGCAGCAUCAACACCAGGCAUUGGCCCGCUCGCUCCCCUGACCUGAAUCCUUUAGAGUACCAGUCGGAUGAGCUUUGGAGACACGUACUGGAGGCGGCAUGGCCAGGACAUGCACAGAGCUGCUUCAGGCAUGGAGGAAUGGGAAAAAACUGCAGCUGAUGGGGAUACGAUCUGCCCUAGGGAAGGCAUUCAUAUGGCCCCGUUCCUGGGUGAAUCUCGCGUGAGAGGACGAGGGGAGGUUCAUCAUCUUGCAAUGCAGUCCGCUGAAAAUGAUGGAAAGCCCCACACUACACAGCAACCGGUGACGUGGUCAAGGUUGGAAUUUCCACAAAACACAUUUUAAGGUCUAAGAUGAGGUGCUUGUCCCCCUCACUGAUGGCUCUCUUUCCUCUGGUCCUGGCCGUCCACCACUGCUCAUCCUUGUCCCGGUACUGGUCCAGAAGGGACUCCAGGUGUGUGGAGUUGCUGAGGACAGUUUGGAGCCAACACAAGCACAAACUUGCUGCUCCAAACCAGCGUGGAGGAGGCUUCAUGUUGUGAGUAGGAGAAUAUUCUUGCUGGUCUGUGAAGAGAAAAGACACAUUCUGUAUGAUGACAUCAAUAUUUUUUCACUAAUCUUAUUUUUCAUUUCACAAUUGUUUUUUUGUAUUGGUCGUAUUGUAGCGUGUUGGGAAAUAUUGUUACAUUGUUGAUAUUGUCCUACCUCGGCUUUACCUCACAUUUUUUGGAACUUAGCUAAUUGUUCUGCUUUAGGUCAAAGGUCAUCAACAAGGGGUUAACAACCUCUAGAGGUCCCC